CAGUAGCCGCGGGAAUACAGAGGGUGCGAGCGUUAAUCGGAUUUACUGGGCGUAAAGCGUGCGUAGGCGGCUUCUUAAGUCGGAUGUGAAAUCCCUGAGCUUAACUUGGAAUUGCAUUCGAUACUGGGAAGCUAGAGUAUGGGAGAGGAUGGUAGAAUUCCAGGUGUAGCGGUGAAAUGCGUAGAGAUCUGGAGGAAUACCGAUGGCGAAGGCAGCCAUCUGGCCUAAUACUGACGCUGAGGUACGAAAGCAUGGGGAGCAAACAGGAUUAGAUACCCCAGUAGUCCCUGUCUCUUAUACA
rnacentral:rRNA from 1 species